AGAAAUAUACCUGAACAUAUUGCACGCUCGAACAUACAACAGAGUCUCCAUCAAACUUUAUUUAUUCCUGAAGGAAAGGGAAAACAUCGAUAAAACCCAGGGGAAAGAGAUAUGUUGGGUAAGGAAGUAGGUUAUGCAAGGGGAAGGUAUUAUCACCCCUAACAUCCAUGGUACUCAAUGGGAACCGUUUUGAUUGUCCUCGCUCGAACGAGUGUUAUCUAAAAAU
rnacentral:lncRNA from 1 species